rnacentral:tRNA from 1 species
GGGCCUAUAGCUCAGAAGAGUAGAGCCGCCAGCUCAUAACCGGUUGGUCGCAGGUUCGAGUCCGGCUGGGCCCA